CCCAAACGGCGAAGACCUGGAUUUACAGCCUUCCCUGAUUUGGCCAGCCUCUCGCCAGUGAGAGGUGUCCCAAAGGGAAACUGAGAGUCUGAAUAUGCAAGUCAGAAAUGGCCAGCGCACAGCCAGUCUGGAACUCUGGAAGGAGACAGCCCCACAUGGCUUCCAUCCUGCAACCUAGCAGCUGCAGACGAAGAGGAAUGAAACUGUGGCAGACUUAAAGGGCCAGAGUGCAAAGCAACAAUCACAGAGCAGAAGAUGCUGAAGGUGUUCAGGAUGAAGAAAAAGGUCCUUGCAAGAGGUGUUUUUCUUAA